rnacentral:rRNA from 1 species
UGCAGUCGAACGGCAGCACGGAGCUUGCUCUGGUGGCGAGUGGCGAACGGGUGAGUAAUAUAUCGGAACGUACCCUAGAGUGGGGGAUAACGUAGCGAAAGUUACGCUAAUACCGCAUACGAUCUAAGGAUGAAAGUGGGGGAUCGCAAGACCUCAUGCUCGUGGAGCGGCCGAUAUCUGAUUAGCUAGUUGGUAGGGUAAAAGCCUACCAAGGCAUCGAUCAGUAGCUGGUCUGAGAGGAUGACCAGCCACACUGGAACUGAGACACGGUCCAGACUCCUACGGGAGGCAGCAGUGGGGAAUUUUGGACAAUGGGCGAAAGCCUGAUCCAGCAAUGCCGCGUGAGUGAAGAAGGCCUUCGAGUUGUAAAGCUCUUUUGUCAGGGAAGAAACGGUGGGAGCUAAUAUCUCUUGCUAAUGACGGUACCUGAAGAAUAAGCACCGGCUAACUACGUGCCAGCAGCCGCGGUAAU